ACUUUUGUGAUGACAGUAUAUCGCCCCAGUCUUAUUGAUUGUGAUUGAUUGAUUUUUCUGAUCAAAU